rnacentral:rRNA from 1 species
UACGAAGGGGGCUAGCGUUGCUUGGAAUCACUGGGCGUAAAGGGUGCGUAGGCGGGUCUUUAAGUCAGGGGUGAAAUCCUGGAGCUCAACUCCAGAACUGCCUUUGAUACUGAAGAUCUUGAGUUCGGGAGAGGUGAGUGGAACUGCGAGUGUAGAGGUGAAAUUCGCAGAUAUUCGCAAGGACACCAGUGGCGAAGGCGGCUCACUGGCCCGAUACUGACGCUGAUGCACGAAAGCGUGGGGAGCAAACAGG